GUGCUUGCCCUAACAAUCAUCUUCCAAACACCUGUGCACAUUUUUGAGGGAGUUUCGAGUUUUAUUGCCGUUUUUGGUGAUUUUCUUGUAUUCCCUUGAAUUAUUAUACGCUGUUAACAAUGAUGAACGUGCUCUGUGCCGCAAGGCCAUUAAUAUAAUACAACUUUUAACAACGGAUCUCUUGGCUCUCGCAUCGAUGAAGAACGCAGCGAAAUGCGAUAAGUAAUGUGAAUUGCAGAAUUCAGUGAAUCAUCGAAUCUUUGAACGCACCUUGCGCUCCCUGGUAUUCCGGGGAGCACGCCUGUUCGAGUGUCGCGAAAUUUCUCAAGCUUGGAUGGCCUUUUUGUCUGUCCUUAGCCUUGGUUGUUGGGCUUUGCCGUGUCCUUUGUUGGGACGGCUGGCCUUAAAAGCAUUAGCUGAUCCUCGUGUGGCACUGGUUCUACUCAGCGUGAUAACAGUCUGAUCGCUGAGGACAUCUUUUGGGAUGGCCAGUUCUCAUUUGGGUUGCUUCCAAACUUGGUUUUGCAGAUUCUUCAA
rnacentral:sRNA from 1 species